CAUUUGUUAAGGAGUACAAAACAAUUAUACAUCCAGGGGAGUGAACAGGAACUUUGUAGUGUAGGCGGUUGGCAGCAGUCCAGUAUUAUUUAGUAGAGCCUUGUUCACCACUGGGUAAGUCCAGUGAUGAUUUUACCUGCGGUACAGUUCAUAUCGGAUCGAGCUAAACUUGUUUUGCCAGAAUGCAAUUCUAGGAUGGUUUUACCUGUUAAGUAUCAUGUAGUAGAGCCUUGUUCACUGCCAGGUAAGUUUCAUUAUGAUGAUUUUCCCUAUGGUACAGUUCAUAUCGGAUCGAACUGGAUGAAAUCACAUGGUCAACAUGUCGAUGAUUGUCGGAAUGGUAUACACUGGCCUGCACCGACCUGUAUGGGCAAUGUUUAAAACCUUGCAGCAUUCCGAAUGCAUGGGACUUAAAUGUUCCAUUGGUGCUGAUGGAACAUUUUAGUUUUCUAAGGGUAAUAAACAAUUAUACUUCAUUUGUCCUAAAGUUUGGUAUCAUUUGAUUGUGGCAAUGCAUUGCCCCUUUAGUGAUGCACACAAGCAUGCGAUGAUGGUAAGCACUCGAAGCCUUCUUCACUUGUUUACACGCUGCUUUUAUCCCUAUUAUAACUUUUGUGGUUGUUCAUUGUAGGGUCAUCACCUCAUGACCCCGACCCUAGACCGUGCUUGGGACACUUCAAUCGCAAUGUUGGCUCUCCCAAAGGGCAAGCCAAUGCCUCCAUGGCGACAAGGCUCUCAAAGCUACAACAGCAAUUGGAGGUAGAGAAACAUGCGACAUAUGAUGCUCAGGCCGAUCAAUGUUGUUACCAUGACAUGGCAUUGAAGUCCUAGUUUGAAGUCUGAUGAUCUCCACCAUGUGGUGAAGGACCACUGUGGACAACUUGAAGAUGAAGAGGCUCAUCGUCUCGACUACAAGACCCAAGGGGGCAUAUUUGGAAGGACACAUGAAAUAUUAGUAAUGUCUUGGAGUAUUGAAAUGUAUUAGCUGAAACAUGGAGCCCAUUAAAAAUUAUCCAUUUAAUAAAAAUAUAAAAUCUAAAUUGCAACAGCUUGUUGAAUGAUAUGUUUGGGCAUGUGAUAGCA